rnacentral:rRNA from 1 species
GAUGAACGCUGGCGGUAUGCUUAACACAUGCAAGUCGAACGGACUCUUCGGAGUUAGUGGCGGACGGGUGAGUAACGCGUGGGAAUCUGGCUUUGGGUUCGGGACAACCACUGGAAACGGUGGCUAAUACCGGAUGUGCCGAGAGGUAAAAGAGAAAUUGCCUGAAGAUGAGCUCGCGUCUGAUUAGCUAGUUGGUGAGGUAAAGGCUCACCAAGGCAGCGAUCAGUAGCUGGUCUGAGAGGAUGACCAGCCACACUGGGACUGAGACACAGCCCAGACUCCUACGGGAGGCAGCAGGGGGGAAUGUUCCGCAAUGGGCGAGAGCGUGACGGAGCAAUACCGCGUGAGGGAAGAAGGCUCUUGGGUUGUAAACCUCUUUUCUUAGGGAAGAACAAAAUGACGGUACCUAAGGAAUCAGCAUCGGCUAACUCCGUG